CAGGCUUAACACAUGCAAGUCGAGGGGCAGCAUGGUCUUAGCUUGCUAAGGCCGAUGGCGACCGGCGCACGGGUGAGUAACACGUAUCCAACCUGCCGUCUACUCUUGGACAGCCUUCUGAAAGGAAGAUUAAUACAAGAUGGCAUCAUGAGUCCGCAUGUUCACAUGAUUAAAGGUAUUCCGGUAGACGAUGGGGAUGCGUUCCAUUAGAUAGUAGGCGGGGUAACGGCCCACCUAGUCUUCGAUGGAUAGGGGUUCUGAGAGGAAGGUCCCCCACAUUGGAACUGAGACACGGUCCAAACUCCUACGGGAGGCAGCAGUGAGGAAUAUUGGUCAAUGGGCGAGAGCCUGAACCAGCCAAGUAGCGUGAAGGAUGACUGCCCUAUGGGUUGUAAACUUCUUUUAUAAAGGAAUAAAGUCGGGUAUGUAUACCCGUUUGCAUGUACUUUAUGAAUAAGGAUCGGCUAACUCCGUGCCAGCAGCCGCGGUAAUACGGAGGAUCCGAGCGUUAUCCGGAUUUAUUGGGUUUAAAGGGAGCGUAGAUGGAUGUUUAAGUCAGUUGUGAAAGUUUGCGGCUCAACCGUAAAAUUGCAGUUGAUACUGGAUAUCUUGAGUGCAGUUGAGGCAGGCGGAAUUCGUGGUGUAGCGGUGAAAUGCUUAGAUAUCACGAAGAACUCCGAUUGCGAAGGCAGCCUGCUAAGCUGCAACUGA
rnacentral:rRNA from 1 species